CAACAUGAAUACAUUGCUGUGUGACUUCGCUGGAUUGAGCAAGGCUGGAGUGCAGGUAGCAACUCUGCAAGGGUCUUGCAGGGAGAAGCAGCAGAAAGGUUAAUGCUGGGAGUCAUCUUGUGCCACUGCUUUAAAUCUCUGCUGACAAGCGGGGUGAAAACCAGAUUGCUUAAAAAUUCUUACUCUUAGUAACUUAGUGUGUUCUGGAGAGGUCUGUUUGGUUUGCAUUUGGUGUGUUGCUUUUUUCCUCUCUUAUUUAAGGCUUUGGCAUAAUGCAUGGCUUUUGUUUGCACUGUUAAAACUGGAAUGAACAGCAAAAUUGCACUUCUGCUAGUCAGAAAUCAUGCUAAAUGCUGAUUUCAAAGCUUGUUUUCAUUAGCAUCUUCCUGUCUGGGGACAUGAAUACUGAAAAGAUCAUGCUGAUUCCAAUUAGCGUUAAGUGAUAGCUUGUGUUUGCUCUGGAUUGGACCAAACUUUAAGCUGAACUAAGAGAUUUACAUAUGUAGUAUGUAACAUGUAGUUUGAGUUAAAGGAGCUGUUUCCUUCUGAAAUUCAGUUUGUUCUUUCUAUCUACUAUGAAAAGCAGCUUUUUUGGCCUGCUAUCCACUGGUGCCCCCGAAAGAUACAAUCUGGGAAGUCAAGUCUUUCAAGCUCACCCAUAACUUUGGAUGGAUCCCUUGCUGAAUAUCCAACUUUCAGCCCCUGAAGGAGGGUCAAUCAAUUGGCACAAAUUCUGUCUGCUUAGAAAACCAGCUGUUUAAACACCUGAAGUCAGGCAUUUGAAUUCCCACUAGUUUUAAAAUCUUGGCCUUAGAACAUGGUGCUAUGAAUGUUUAUUGCUGCAUUUGGGCUCGUGAGAAAACUGAUGUUGUUGUAAUUCAUACAACUGGAACCAGCAAGAGUUACAGUGGAGAAACACAGAACACAAACUACAUAAUGGGCCCCCAAGCCAACCACUUGUGAUUCUAUGUGUCUCCAGGACUAAAUAAGUGAUGGAAUUUCAAAACAAAUUCUAUGUUUAUAGGGAAGGGGGGACAUUUAGAGUUAACAAGAGUUUUACUAUGCAUCCAGGAAGAAAUGUUAACUUUCUUUAUGAUAUGGAGAAAAUGCCUCUCAAUAUCUUAUGUGAAGUGCUUUGAGAUCUCCUGGUACAUAUUCCUGUCUCUGGUAUUUAUUUUCUUUAUUUUUCCUAAUGGUAAAAAUGUUUGCAAACUUGAACAUCUUUCAGAAUUUUAUUCUUAUCUCACUUCUCUGAGGAAGAAAAAUAUCACUGGUCACAUGCAACAAGCAGAGAAAAUAGAUGGUGGGACCAAGGAAGGACAGUCACAAUGCCUAAUUUAGCCACCUGUGAUGGGUAGGUGAGGUUGAGAGAGGGAGUUGACAUGUUGACAUACCAGCCAUAUUUUCCUUCUGGAAGCCCUACAUCACAGCAUUCCAACAGUGUGGUUUCUCUCACCUUCCUCUGAAGCCUGUGGAAUGGGCUGUGGGCAGGGCUGUGAUGCAGGACUUAGUGAAACACUGGUCUGAUCCGA